AUGUGAUGAGGCAAGGGCAGUUUAAAGGGGGUACAGCCCCUUUAAAAAAGAGCACAAUCUCUCCUAGCGGAUAACCCUUACCCCCUCCCAAAUUGUAGGCCCUUAAGCAGCCACCCAUAAAGAGUGCGUCAAAGCUCAACACUAAAAAAUCCGAAAACAACCUGACUCCCUUACCACUAACAGGCCAACCUAUAACAAUAGGAGAACUACUGCUAAAAUAAGUAACCCGGGGCAACCCUCUAGAGCGCGACGUUACACCACCAUGUUAUUAACAGACCAUGUUUAAUGUUACAACCCAACAGGACAAACCAUUAACACUCCACCGUUAGCCCGACACAGGAGCGCCCACAAGAAAGAUUAAAAUCUGCAAAAGGAACUAGGCAAACCCAAGGCCCGACUGUUUACCAAAAACAUAGCCUUCAGCCAACCAAGUAUUGAAGGUGAUGCCUGCCCAGUGACAUCAUGUUUAACGGCCGCGGUAUCCUAACCGUGCGAAGGUAGCGCAAUCAAUUGUCCCAUAAAUCGAGACUUGUAUGAAUGGCUAAACGAGGUCUUGUAUGAAUGGCUAAACGAGGUCUUAGCUGUCUCUUGCAGAUAAUCGGUGAAAUUGAUCUCCCUGUGCAAAAGCAGGAAUAAACCCAUAAGACGAGAAGACCCUGUGGAACUUAAAAAUCAGCGGCCACCCCACCUAGAACCUAAGCCUACUAGGCAUACUAUUACUCCAAAAACAUUGGCCCGCAUUUUUCGGUUGGGGCGACCUUGGAGAAAAACGAACCCUCCAAAAAUAAGACCACACCUCUUGACCAAGAGCAACCCCUCAACGUACUAACAGUAACCCGACCCAAUAUAAUUGACCAAUGGACCAAGCUACCCCAGGGGUAACAGCGCAAUCUCCUUCAAGAGCCCAUAUCGACAAGGAGGUUUACGACCUCGAUGUUGGAUCAGGACAUCCUAAUGGUGCAGCCGCUAUUAAGGGUUCGUUUGUUCAACGAUUAACAGUCCUACGUGAUCUGAGUUCAGACCGGAGCAAUCCAGGUCGGUUUCUAUCUAUGACGAACUUUCCCCAGUACGAAAGGACCGGAAAAGUAAGGCCAAUACUAUAGGCACGCCUUUAUCCCCAAGUAAUGCAGCCCAACUAAAUUACUUAAAGGACACCCAUAUCCCUAGCCCUAGAAAAGGGCCGCUAGCGUGGCAGAGCUUGGUAAAUGCAA
rnacentral:rRNA from 1 species